GCUGAAGUCAGACGCUUAACCGACUGCGCCACCCAGGCGCCCCUUCUUUAGAAUUCUUAACUGAAAUUAACAAAGUUAAACAAAAAUUUUUAAAAGAAAUGUUAACAUUCCAAUAUUACUAAAGGAUCUCAGCUUUUAGUUCUGGCAUUACCCAUUUUUGUAACAUUUAAGGAGGUCAUAGAACCACAUUCAUUUUCAUUUUGGGGGUGAUUCUUGCCCCUGAGUAGUAAAACUGAAAUAUCAACCCCAAAGAGCAUCUGUGGGAGUUGAGUAGAUGUGUGAACUUUUGACUGCUCACAUCUGGCCCUCUCCCUGUGUCUGGGGAAAUGCCCCACAGAUAAGUCCUAUAAGAUCUUAAGUAUUGUUCUAGACUUGGUUUGAGUUAACUUUUUCUAGCCCAGGAGAUGAGAUUAUCCCACAUAAAACUGUCCUGAUAUUGUAGACGAGCUCAUCAUCCAGUGCCACAGUGAAUAGCAUGCUCUUAAGUCAGAAGAGGAGGAAUUCAGUUAACUAUAUGUUGGGUAAGGAGAGCUUUUGACUGAAGGGAAUUCUUGAGUCCUGUCUUGAAAGAUAGCUGGUAUUUUCAUAAAGGAAAAAGAAAAUGGCAUUCUAGAUGAGGAGAUAAUUUAACAAAAUUAACUGGUCUGAAAUGGCAUGAUCCAGUGGAAAAAGGUUGAUUCUAGUCAUAACUCUGCACAAUCAAAACAAAUAACACUUUUUACCUUAUAUGUUUUCACUAGGGUUGUGCACAUUUUUUACUAAUGAAUUGCCCUGAGCUCUUCCAUGUGUAUUUCAACAUCCAAACCUGUGUGCCCUUACAUAUCCUAUGUCCUGUGUUUAGAAUGCAGUUGCCUUCCUUGGUAACCCUACCCCCAAAUAGACCAGAAAAGUCUGUAUGCAUUUUCCAAUACUCAAGUAACACUGCCCUAAUUUUCCUAGGCAGCAGAAUUAGGCUCCUGGGAUUUUGAGAUACCUUGAACAUCUCUAACAGUCUAGCACUUACUACAUCUACAGUAUGUUCACUUGACUGUCUUUUGUCUGUUUGCUUUUUUUGCUGAAACAUUUAAAAGAAAAUUCUUAAAAUGAUACUACUUUAACCUUAAAUAUUUUAGUGUGAGUCUCUAACAGAUAAGGACUUUUAAUAACAGAAACAGCAGCACUGUUAUCAUCCCUCAUAAAAUUAACAAUAACUCAGUAAUAUCUUUUUAUUACCCAGUUCUUAUUCAAUUUCUUGAAUUUCUCUAAAAUGGAUUUAGCUGACUGCAUCCUCAAGGUUCCAGUUGGGGGCUUCUAAGACAACAAAAGGAUUUGUGUUUUACCAUUGGAGUACCUUAAGAUUGUCAUUUAAACUGAUUGCACAACCUCUGUUUUAGCACAGCAGGAACAAAAAUUAAGAUAGAAAAAAGAAUGGAGAAUAAAAUUUCAGCCUUGAGGAUAGCAUGGCUUUGGAUUUAUCAUAUAAUCUACUCUUCUGGGCCAGUUCAUAGCCUUCUGGGGGAGAAAUCUAUCUUGUCCAUCGAAGCCCCAGAUCACCCAAUUCUAGGUGGAAUAGCCUCCUGAGGGUAAGAGCAGGACUCUCCUUAUGGGUCUCUUUCUUGAGGGAUGUAGACCAUAGACUCAUGGUCAAACCAAAUGAAUUUUUUUUUUUUUUCAAAAAGCUAAAAUGUAUUCUCCACUUCCAAUGUUUCUCUCCAAGGUGAAGGAUCUAAAUGAAUGUAAUAUUCCUGGCCUCUCUCAAUCCCUUCUUAUCUCUGCCCCAGGAAAGUGGAGUGACUUGCAUCAUAUAUAAGUUUUGGAAGAAUAAACCGGGCAUGCUUAGCUCAUUUUUGUUUUCUUCUCCGAGCUAGCUUCCCACAGCAUGUAGGAGGUCUUUGCUUCUCCAUGAUAUAACCUGGGCAAGUCUCCACCCUAACUGAAUGCUAUUUGAGUAAGUCUAAUUCUGGGGUUCACUGUGCAGCCCCUUUGGACUAACAUGUCACCUGUGGACCCUAAUAUAGCCUUUAUUGGAAAUCCAGAUGAUGUUUUGGUCUCCAUGUGUUCUAUUCCUAGUCUUUAGAUUUUUUUUUUUUAGAACCCUGAUGAAAAUGGAGGGCACUAUUUUGGGAGUAUUCUCAAAAACAUAAACAAUCAUAAAAUGUUAUGUUAAUACACUACUAUAUUCUAUUGGUUAAUAUUUUAUGUAGGAUUUUAUAUUGAUAUUCAUAAGUGGGAUUAAUAUGUGGCUUUCUUUUAGGGUUUUUGUUUCCAGAAUUACACUAGCUUCAUAAGAAGUAUUUAGACAUUUUCUUUCCUUUUUUUUUUUUUCCCUAUGCUCUGGAAUAAUUUGAGUAGUAUUGGAACUAACAGCAAUUUAUAUUUUCCUAAAACCACCCUUUUAAUUCAGUUUCUCAAGUUAAUUUACUAAGAGUUGAGCAAAAUAUUCGCUUAUGAAUCUUGCAGUUUCCUCUAUUUGUGGUUAUUCCCUUAUCAUUUCCAAAUUUUGUGCUUUCAUGGUAUUGCCCAUUUCCUCACUUGAUCAGAUGACCUAAAGAUUUAUGUUAAUGUAGGUUUAAGAUUUUUGGAAAAAACAUUUCUUGGAUUUAUAUGUUUCUCCUUUUAAAUUCAUUAUUGCAUAUGCGUUAUUUAUGAUUUUUCCCUUCUGCUUUCCUUGGCAUUCUUUUUCCUAACUUGAGUCUUAUUUGUAAAUAUAAAUUUUUUUAGCUAUGAAUUUUCCCCUGAGCUUUACUUUGCUUGUAUCCCAUGAUUCUGAUGAGUAAAGUCAUUUGAUAAACAAGGAGAUGUGCCCAGUUGAGAGAUCUGUUGUCCUGUGAAGGAGAUAGUUGAGUGAUCUAUUGUUUGGAUAAAUAUGUUUUCAGGAAGUCAUUUAAGCAACAAAGUUAUUCCCAAUAAUUUCCUGCCCUUCCACCGAAAGACUUGGUUUUGGUGACCCAUUGGUAUCAAGCUUGGCUAUAUGGCUUGUUUUGGACAAUGAAAUGUUAACAGAUGGUUCAUUGAAGGAUUCUCCCAUUUGUCUUUCCUCUCUACCCCAAGAUCAGUAUGUCCCAUAUUGGGACUGUUCAUUUGAGUAGGGUCCCAGAAUGAAGAAGAUACAGAAUAGAGGUGCAACCAAUCAGUUAAAGACAUGUAAUGGGAGCAAGAAAUAAAUCUUUGUUGUUGUAAACUGUGGAGAUUUUUGGGUUAUUUGUUAUUGUAGAAUAAGCUAGCAAAACCAUCUGCUAUAGCAUGUACUGAAUAUAUAUACAAACGCAUAUAGGUGUAUAUUCUAUAUUCCUUCAUAUGUACCUUUAUAUACUAUAUACUAUAUAUCAUGUAUACCUAGAUAUAAUGUAGGAACAUCUUUUGAAAAAUAAGGUAUAAGUAAAUUUUAUGGGACUUCAGAUGCAAUUCUUGCUAAUUAAAUUAUUACAAACAUUUAUAGUUGUGUCUUUGCUUUUAUGACACAUCUGUAGUCAUAGCCAUGAUUUGUCUGAUGCUAAGUCUUGGGUCAGAAAAGUUCCUCUGUUACAACUUUUUUUCUUUGAGAAAAUUCCUUGCUCUAUACCCAUCACCUUUGGGACAUGGUUCUAGAAAGCUAAUAUAUGAAAAAAGAAAGAAAGAAAGAAAGAAAGAAAGAAAGAAAGAAAGAAAGAAAGAAAGAAAAGAAAACACUGGCUCUACUUGUUUGCAAUUUAAAAAUUCUGACUUCAUUAUUCCUUAAAACCAGUGGAAAUGACCCAUAAUCUUAGUAACAUAUUUUUAUAAAUGUUGUCUCUUCCAGAAUAAAAGUGUCUCCUGUAACUAUCAGCAUGAUAUACGAAGAUAGUUUAAAAAAAUUCCUCUAAAUAGGAAAAAGAAAAUAUUCUAAUUUUUUCUUGAGGCCAUAGUCAAGAAGUCAGUUCCUGUGAAUGAGAUUCCAAAAGACAAGUCCUUCCCACUCCCUAACUCCAUCGAUCAAGAAGUUUCUCCUGAAGGUAUGGACUCAAUCCAGAGCCAGUGAUAAAUGAAUGCCUACUGGCUGAAUAUGAAUGUGUCCAGGUCUUCUCAGUGCUCCCUGUGGACCCCAGAAGGAACCUGCUUGUAUUGCAAGGCCUGAAAUGCUGUGUGCUGCCUUGACUUCUCUGAGCUUCACAGAGCCCCACCUUGCUCUUAUCAGACAUGUCCCCACCCAGCGGGAAAGUCUCUCCUCCUGUCUAGUCCCCCUCCCAGCUGGACCAGCUGCUCCCCAUUUGGUUCUCCAUCUAAUGGUUUCACCUCCCAGCCAGCCUGUGGAAUUAUUCAAACAAGCCAAUCACAUUCUCCCUUGGAGACCAGGGGCACCCCACCCUUCAGUUAAUAAAUGCAUGUUAUCUACAGACUCUGUGGGUUCCCUGUGCUCCCGAGUGCAGCCCCGGAUGGCCCUGUGUCAUGUGCAGUGUCUUCCCCCUGGCUGCUGGAUUUUCCAGCAACAGGCACCAUGAUGGAGUUUGGAUCGGAGGGAAGAUGGGUCCCAGUAGGAAGAAACAGCUGUGUACAUUUCUGCCGUUGGAACCUGUGUGGAUAAGCCCCAGAAAAUGCCAGUGGCUGGCUGGGUGACGAAAGGGUACUUGGAUGGAGGUGACUGGUGUCCUUACAAGAAGAGGAGAUCAGGACACACAGAGUGGUGCCAGACUUGCGUGCACACAGAGGGAAGACCGUGUGAGGACACAGGAAGAAGGUGGCUGUCUACAAGGAGAGAGGCUACAGGAGAAACCAACCUGCAGACAUCUUGGUGUCAGACUUCCAGCUUCUGGAACUGUGAGAAAAUAAGUUUCUGUCAUUUCAGCCACCCUUGUGAGGUAUUUUGUUGAGGCAGCCGGAGCAGACUGACUCACAGCUCUCCCCACUGUUCCCCCCCCCACCCCCACCCCCUGCCCCCAGGGUUUAUGCGUUCCAUCCCGUGAUUCUGCUUAUGUUCCCUUCCUCCUGGGAUGCCAUUCUCCUCCAGGGCUCCGCCACUGUCUUUCUUUUAGCAACGAAAUAAACCAACAAAACCAAACAGAACAGAAUUCUGCCUACCUUUUAAGGCCUCGCUGCGAUGCCUCCUUUUCCAAUCAGCUGACCCGGAUCCUCUCACUUCUGGGCUCCCACGGCUGGUGGAAACGUCAGUCCUGCCCUCCCCUCCCGGCCUCCUGCUACAGUGAGUUGAGCACAGUUACUCAGCCCGCCAUAUUGUUGGAUCUCUGGGGGCAGAAACUUGUGCUGUGUCCCAGACCCAGCAGCAUGCCCAGCACAUAACAGGUGCUCGGUGAUUAUUUUCCAGUUACAAUUAAAAUUACGUCUCUGCACCCAGCAGGCCAAGAGGAAAAGUGCCUGGCAUGUUCCAGUUGUUGGGAUGCUGAGACCAAAACCAUAGUCUCUGCUCCAGUUCAGGGAGGGCUAUGUGGAGGAGGGGCAUUUGAAGGAUAGGUAAGAGCUGAAGUCAUGCCUCUGUGCGAGCAAGGGAACAGAGAGCUGCUUAAUCUGAGUUCCAAAUAACUAACGUGCAUUUGACU